CUUCCAGUCACUGUUCCAUCUCCCUUCAUCCCCUCCAGGAAGCCCGCACUGCCACGCACGUCUACUCUAAUUUAACAGAGAUUAGCAGAGGAAACCCGUCUGUUGCUCUUGUUUCGACCCCUCCUUCCACCCCUGCUCUGUGGUCGGUUUGAUCUCCGUCCUUGGCCGUCAGCUGGUGAACAGAACUAUUUUGGGUGGGUGCGAGGGGAUUUUUCGGCCUGUUGAUUGUACUGAGUCAUAGGGAUUGGCUCUGCUUUUCAGCUGGAGGAUGCAGGGAGAGUAGAAGCACUUUCUGGUGCUAAAAUAAGGGAACUUGCACAGCUCCAUCCAUAUGCAAUGAUGACAAAACUGGGAACAAAUUCAACACUUAUCUUGCACGCCUAUGCAGCCACUAGAUGGUGGAGCCACUCUUAAUUCAAAAAGAGACUAACUGGGAGAGCAGAGGAGAACUGGAGGUGCUGGAGCAUAUUUGAACAGAUUUGGGGAUUGUUAAAAACCAGUACCCACACCUCCACCAUGGCCCGGUUUCUCCUGGCAGGCCUUAAUCUCUCUCCCUAAUCGGCUGGAGACGUGAGGCUUUGCCAUUCCCCACAGGGCUGCGCAUGGGAUGUGGCCAAGUUUUCAGAGUGAGCGGCGGAGGUACUCGGUGCAACAAUGACAGAGGCGUUUGUCACUCCUCAGGUAAAGAGAACUCAGAGAACAGAAUCUGCUGCUGAAGAAGGGAAGCUGAGGUCAUGCUACAUCACGCCUAAAUGUUAGCAGAACUAGAGAACCCGCAGUAACCAGCUGAUCCAGCCACUUGUGUGCAGCAUCAAACGCACAACAACACUUUGAUUCUCUAAAGGGAGUCUUCCUCAAGGUUCCUAUUGUGGACCCGAGUCAUAAUAAACACACAUAAACAGCUCUGGCUUUCAUGUCGUCCUUAUAAAAGAGGAAUAAAUAAGUACAAUCCACUUCAGUGAGGGCCUUUGUGGGGAGGAAGCAGCUGGAGAUGGCACCGGGCCCUGGUAUUGUUUGCCAGCGGCUCCCAAAUCGGACCACGGUGCCUAGCUGACGUCACCCAUAUGAACGUGACAGGCGUGAGUCUGAAAGUGCUCCUGUCGUCAUUUCGGGUCACUUCAGAGUUCUGUUUACGCCUCUUCGUAUGAUCAGGCUUCUCAUGUAACCAGAAAUGGUCCAAAUACCUUUGAUAAUUUCCUCAGAAAAACAGAGAUCAAACAAAAUUUCGUGUUUAGUGAGGAAGGAAAUUGCGCGUGUCUCUGAGGUUUAGCUGUUGAAAACUCACCUCUUGUAUGGGACUUGCUUUAGAGGAUUUCUGGGCCUGAAUAUCGAACAAUAUGGUAUUUUUCUCGCUCCCUUUCUCUGCCCUGAGUUGGUGUUUUCUUGCUAAUUCUGCCUCUCCCUUAGAUGUGGUUCAAGCUAUUUACAAAUCCAACUUUUGGAAUGAGUGUCCAACUCCCUUUCGUCUGGGAUUAGAUAGAAAGCGAGCGGGAUGAGGGAUGGGGAGGGAGCGGAUCAUAGCACACACAGUGCUGCUGAGGACAAACUUGAAAGGAUUAGAGAGGGGGGAGAAAAUACAAAAAAUGUCUAGCAAGAAAUAAAAGUGCGUGUUAUUUGUUGUCGGCCACAAAGUGAGAUCAGUGGAGCUUCAAAGGACAUCUGAUUAGUGCUGUGAAGUCACCAGAUACUGUCAGGAAAAAGUGUGGCCAAGGAGCUGUAUGGGAUAUUUACUGAUACACAGAGCAUGGCUUCAGCUCAGUGCCAGCUGGCAGCAGAUACUGAGAAGUUGACUGAGAAAGUGUAUGGGAGGCCAGCAACGAUGAUAAAACUAAAAGAAAAGGGAGAGGUAUGUUUUAAGUUAAAGCAUAUGAAAGCUCACAGCGAAAUAAGGUGGUGCUCAUUAGU